rnacentral:lncRNA from 1 species
AAGAGUAAAGUACUUCCGCUUCCUUAGGUGGAGCUGGAAAGGUGGAGGCGGAAGUGACUGAUCAAUUCAGGGGCGUGGGGUUCGUUUAGGUUUUGCCCUGUGUAUGACCUCGUUUGGAGCCAUGAAACCAGGUGGCUUUUCUACAAUAUAAAGAUGGAAAUGGGAAGAAGAUGUUCAUUGCAAAUUAAGGAAGCUCUUCCACGAGUUCACGAAUGGAAAUAACAUCAAGAGUUUUUCAUCUUCUUAGUGUGCAAGAACACAGCAUAGUAUGUGACAUAAAGGCUUGAUGACUGUGUUGAAUGAAUGUAUGUUGUUAUUUUAGGGCAAUGAUGGAAAGCACCAAGUGGAGUCUGGAGCUAGACUGAUCUGUGUUCAAUCCUGUCUUGGUUACUCAUUGGGGGGCCUCGACUUUCAUGUCUCUGUAAUGUCCCUGACAGUAUCUGCCUCACAGGGUUGCUGUGAGAGUCAAGCGAGAUAAAUAUCAAGGAGUGCAAUUCCUGGAUUUAUGAUGUCUGAGGAAUAGUCUUAGUGGAUUAUCCCAAACUUGACACAUUUUUUGCAAAAUGCUAUACAAAAAGAAGAUACAUGCGAUUAUGACAAGAUUCUCCACUUGGUGUGACCAGUCUCAUACAACCCAAGGCUGUGUGUCCAAAGGCAACUGUACUGAAUACCGGAAAGCAUGUAUUUGUUUGCUAAAUUGCUCUCUUUCCACCAGUGAUAUCAAUUCUGAAAUACUUUUGAGAUCUUGACAAUAAUCAAAAGGUAGCCAGGUGCAUCGGGGAAAGCACUGACAUUGGAGUCAGACAGACUGAAGUUCAUAUCUGAUUCUGCUAUAUGACAACGUGUGGGCUAUGUGGCUAACUUCUCAGAGCUUCAGUUUUCUCAAGGGCAAAAUGAAAAUAAUAGAAAUAAUAGAAUCCACCUCACAGGGCUGUGGUGAGAAUUGGAGAUGAAGCACAUACAGCAUAUUACAUCAACUAAACACAUGCUAAAAAUUAAAGGGGAUGAAAGAUACAUUGGUCCCUGCAGUGGGAAGUUUCCUUGACAAUGCAAUUAUUGAUUCCAGAAGGCUGAACAAAUGUUGACAGAGGAACACACUGUUUGCUUAUGUCUAAUCUUCCCAUCUGACUUAUAUAAAUGUCACAAAUGAAUCUCAGACAUGUGCCCAAUAUCAAAUAUCCAUACGAUGGCCCUGGAAAGAGGCAAUCUACAUUUAUGGCUGAUGAGAAGAUGGAUUUUUAGCUUGAAAGAAACUUAUUACUGGGGAGAGGAAGUAUAAAUGAAUGGAGAGAGCUAUGAAGAGGUUGAGAGAAUACAGCCAAGGCACAUGACAGAAUUGCUCUGUUGAAGUUUUGCAAGGUCAAAUGACUCACUUUGUCUAAUGGAACGGGAACGAACAAUUUUUUUGUGUCACGUUUGAACAGAUACCUUUGAGAAGUUUAUGAUUCUCCAAGUUCUCUUUCUCCUACUGUGGCACCUACUGACAAGAUAAAUGUGUAGAGGUUCCUGAGUCUAGGGGUGAGUCUUGCAUAUCUGAUGAAUCCACCAGUAAAAGUACCACUGCUGAAAUCACGCAAAUAUAUUUUUUUAGACCUUAUCAACCUUGGCAUGGAAUUAGAUGAGCAAAAAGCUGAGUUGAAUUGAUGAAAAGAAUCCCAAGUCAUUAAUUACUAAUGAUGGAGCUUGUAAAGUACAGCAUCACUGGGGAAAGCAACUGACUUUCCUCAUACACAUUAUAUUUUUAUCUGAAUUUCAAUACUGCUUAAAUAUGUACUUCAUUACAGGGCACAACUAAAAUAGAAGGGCACCUGCUAAGUCAGAGCCAUAAAACAGAUCUACAGCCUGCUGGCAUGUGAAAUUUCUCUAAUUUAUAUUUUUUAUGAAACUACCCUCACAUUAUGUGGUUGGCAGCAUAAAUAAUAAAGCAUGUUACUGAAGCAAUUUUACAUUUACUGUAUUAGUAAGUAAAUGCAAUGGCCACUCUUAUUCUCAAAUAAAAACUACCCAGCCUUUUCAUGAAAGAUGUUUGCAAUUUCCAUUGGCCUGUAUAUGCAAUAAAAAGCCAUAACUCAUCAAAA